rnacentral:rRNA from 2 species
AGUCGAGCGGACUAAUGGGAGCUUGCUCCCGUUAGUUAGCGGCGGACGGGUGAGUAACACGUGGGCAACCUACCUAUAAGACUGGGAUAACUUCGGGAAACCGGAGCUAAUACCGGAUGACAUAAAGGAACUCCUGUUCCUUUAUUGAAAGAUGGCUUCGGCUAUCACUUACAGAUGGGCCCGCGGCGCAUUAGCUAGUUGGUGAGGUAACGGCUCACCAAGGCGACGAUGCGUAGCCGACCUGAGAGGGUGAUCGGCCACACUGGGACUGAGACACGGCCCAGACUCCUACGGGAGGCAGCAGUAGGGAAUCUUCCGCAAUGGACGAAAGUCUGACGGAGCAACGCCGCGUGAGCGAUGAAGGCCUUCGGGUCGUAAAGCUCUGUUGUUAGGGAAGAACAAGUGCUAGUUGAAUAAGCUGGCACCUUGACGGUACCUAACCAGAAAGCCACGGCUAACUACGUGCCAGCAGCCGCGGUAAUACGUAGGUGGCAAGCGUUGUCCGGAAUUAUUGGGCGUAAAGCGCGCGCAGGCGGUUUCUUAAGUCUGAUGUGAAAGCCCCCGGCUCAACCGGGGAGGGUCAUUGGAAACUGGGAAACUUGAGUGCAGAAGAGGAAAGUGGAAUUCCAAGUGUAGCGGUGAAAUGCGUAGAGAUUUGGAGGAACACCAGUGGCGAAGGCGACUUUCUGGUCUGUAACUGACGCUGA